rnacentral:rRNA from 1 species
UACAGAGGUGGCAAGCGUUGUUCGGAAUUACUGGGCGUAAAGGGCGCGUAGGCGGUUCGUUAAGUCCUGUGUGAAAUCCCCCGGCUCAACUGGGGAACCGCGUCCGAUACUGUCUGUCUUGAGGACGAGAGGGGAGAGUGGAACUUCUGGUGGAGCGGUGAAAUGCGUAGAUAUCAGAAGGAACACCGGUGGCGAAGGCGACUCUCUGGCUCGUAUCUGACGCUGAGGCGCGAAAGCUUGGGUAGCAAACGGG